rnacentral:rRNA from 1 species
GACAGAGGAUGCAAGCGUUAUUCGGAAUGAGUGGGCGUAAAGCGUCUGUAGGUGGCUUUUCAAGUCCGCCGUCAAAUCCCAGGGCUCAACCCUGGACAGGCGGUGGAAACUACCAAGCUGGAGUACCGUAGGGGCAGAGGGAAUUUUCGGUGGAGCGGUGAAAUGCGUAGAGAUCGGGAAGAACACCAACGGCGAAAGCACUCUGCUGGGCCGACACUGACACUGAGAGACGAAAGCUAGGGGAGCAAAUGGG